UAAGGAAUAUUGGUCAAUGGACGCAAGUCUGAACCAGCCAUGCCGCGUGAAGGAUUAAGGUCCUCUGGAUUGUAAACUUCUUUUAUCUGGGACGAAAAAAGGCGAUUCUUCGUCACUUGACGGUACCAGAUGAAUAAGCACCGGCUAACUCCGUGCCAGCAGCCGCGGUAAUACGGAGGGUACAAGCGUUAUCCGGAUUCACUGGGUUUAAAGGGUGCGUAGGCGGGGCAGGUAAGUCAGUGGGUGAAAUCCUAGAGCUUAACUCUAGAACUGCCAUUGAUACUAUCUGUCUUGAAUAUUGUGGAGGUAAGCGGAAUAUGUCAUGUAGCGGUGAAAUGCUUAGAUAUGACAUAGAACACCUAUUGCGAAGGCAGCUUACUACGCAUAUAUUGACGCUGAGGCACG
rnacentral:rRNA from 1 species